rnacentral:rRNA from 1 species
GACGAACGCUGGCGGCGUGCUUAACACAUGCAAGUCGAACGGAAAGGCCCUGCUUUUGUGGGGUGCUCGAGUGGCGAACGGGUGAGUAACACGUGAGUAACCUGCCCUUGACUUUGGGAUAUCUUCAGGAAACUGGGGCUAAUACCGGAUAGGAGCUCCUGCUGCAUGGUGGGGGUUGGAAAGUUUCGGCGGUUGGGGAUGGACUCGCGGCUUAUCAGCUUGUUGGUGGGGUAGUGGCUUACCAAGGCUUUGACGGGUAGCCGGCCUGAGAGGGUGACCGGCCACAUUGGGACUGAGAUACGGCCCAGACUCCUACGGGAGGCAGCAGUGGGGAAUAUUGCACAAUGGGCGGAAGCCUGAUGCAGCAACGCCGCGUGCGGGAUGACGGCCCUCGGGUUGUAAACCGCUUUCGCCUGUGACGAAGCGUGAGUGACGGUAAUGGGUAAAGAAGCACCGGCUAACUACGUG